rnacentral:rRNA from 1 species
GAUGAACGCUGGCGGCGUGCCUAAUACAUGCAAGUCGAGCGAACGGACGAGAAGCUUGCUUCUCUGAUGUUAGCGGCGGACGGGUGAGUAACACGUGGAUAACCUACCUAUAAGACUGGGAUAACUUCGGGAAACCGGAGCUAAUACCGGAUAAUAUUUUGAACCGCAUGGUUCAAAAGUGAAAGACGGUCUUGCUGUCACUUAUAGAUGGAUCCGCGCUGCAUUAGCUAGUUGGUAAGGUAACGGCUUACCAAGGCAACGAUGCAUAGCCGACCUGAGAGGGUGAUCGGCCACACUGGAACUGAGACACGGUCCAGACUCCUACGGGAGGCAGCAGUAGGGAAUCUUCCGCAAUGGGCGAAAGCCUGACGGAGCAACGCCGCGUGAGUGAUGAAGGUCUUCGGAUCGUAAAACUCUGUUAUUAGGGAAGAACAUAUGUGUAAGUAACUGUGCACAUCUUGACGGUACCCAAUCAGAAAUCCACGGCUAACUACGUG